AGCGCUUUCACAACAGCGGCAGCUCUGUUUAAAAAAAGCACUUUCAGGGAUAUUUAACAUAAAAUAACAAAAAUAGAACAGAACAUUGUCACCUAGGCCUUCUCCUUCUCCUUGAUUCCUAUUGGACAGGAGACUCCAGUCCCACCUAGCCCGCAGUAGCCGCCCGGGUUCUUGCUCAGGUAUUGCUGGUGGUAGUCCUCGGCGUAGUAGAAGGGUUUACCUUCCGCGAUCUCUGUUGUGAUGCUUCCGAAACCUUCUUUAGUCAGAACCUGCACAAGCGCACACACACGCGGCAACAAUCAAUUUUCUUUGCGGGGUGCAAACUGUCCGGUUAUCUACACCAAGGAGCCUCUGCUGUCAUUAUUAGCAAAACAUCAAAUUCUUCAUUUCUGCCCAGUUAGACGAGGUCAAGGUUGACCAUAAAACUAUCCUAUGUCUGGUACAAAACAAGAUUUUAUCAACUGUCUCGAGAGUGGCUUUUUGUAGAUGAGAUAGGACGUCACUUGUGAAGAUGUAUGAACUAACAUGGACGCUGUGUGUUUAUUAAUUUGGGUGUAACACGACCCAUUUGCAUGUGUUAACAUAUUAAGAUGCAUCACAAAAUAGUGGAAUACAGAUUGCAUUGAAAUAGUAAAAUAUGUUUUUAAAAUGUGAGCUAAUUGAUUUGGUGUUGUUCUUAGUGGAUGUAAUUUUUUUUAAAUCAAUAAAUCACUCUUUUUCGGCUUUGGAACCUUUUCUUGCGACGACCACAAAUCAAGGCAACAAAAGCAACAAAAAUGUAUCACAAUGUUGUCAGGAAUGAUUUGACACGUCAAAUAAAUAAAUAAAUGAACUCAA